rnacentral:rRNA from 1 species
GACCGGAGUGAACGAACCGCUGGUGUUCGGGUUGUCAUGCCAAUGGCACUGCCCGGUAGCUAAGUUCGGAAUCGAUAACCGCUGAAAGCAUCUAAGCGGGAAGCGAGCCCCGAGAUGAGUCAUCCCUAGGUUCUUGAAACCUCUGAAGGGCCGUUUGAGACUAAGACGUAGAUAGGCAGGGUGUGGACGCGUUGUGAGACGUGAAGCUAACCUGUACUAAUGCCCCGUGCGGCUUAACCAUACAACACCCAAGAAGUGU